rnacentral:misc_RNA from 1 species
AUGUCAUUGUCCAUGAAGGUAAUUUGUUGGGUGUUGUAGUCAGCUAUAAAAAUAGAUGGACAAGCUUGAUGAUUCCUUUCUUCUCUUACUUUCUUUGUGUAAAAAUUGUUGGAGAUUCAAUUUCUUAUGGUCAUAUUGCACUGUGGAUAUCCAUAUGAUUAUAUCUUUCUUCCGUAGUUCUUGCUCUGACGGCAGGUACCUCACUUGGUAAUGCUAUUUUGGAUGAGAAUCAUAUUUUGUUAUAGGAUUACUGUUUCUAAAAUGAAAUAUAAAUGAACCAACUAAAAUUGUUAAAUCUUUUCCAUUUGGAAGGAUUUGUUCUGGCUAACAAUUGUAGUAUUGGUGUAUAUGGAAAGUCAUUCUGAAGCUGCUAGCGUUUGUUGUUUACUUCAAUAUUUCCUGUUACCAUAACCAAUAUUUUGAACCUCAACCUCUUAGUGAAACUGAUAGCUAACUGGUUCAACCAGCUUAACUCAGUCAAAAGCUGGUUAUAUAUAUAAGGUUUUAAAGGUAAAAAUAAGAAAAAAAAAUGAUAGAUUAUGAAACCAAAACUAAUUUGGACCAACUGAUCACUAGUCUGGUGCCCAAUCCACUUGGCCAUUCUGACGUGGUUUUCAAAACAUUGAUCAUUGUCCAUAACUGUCCAUUGUUGUUAGGUUUCAUGAUUUCACUACUUGUAGUUGCUGUCAAUGUGAUCCCGUUAAAUCUGUUGAACGUAACUUUUCUUUUGCAAUUUUUCAGGGUUAUCGGGUUAUUUCCGUUG